ensembl:piRNA 21ur-326 ncRNA
UCUGCAGUUUUUGAACGCGUC